GAUGAAGAACGCAGCGAAAUGCGAUAAGUAAUGUGAAUUGCAGAAUUCAGUGAAUCAUCGAAUCUUUGAACGCACAUUGCGCCCGCCAGUAUUCUGGCGGGCAUGCCUGUUCGAGCGUCAUUACAACCCUCAAGCCCCCCGGCUUGGUGUUGGGGACCGGCCACCGGUGCCCUGCUGCUUCCGCGGCAGGUGCGCCCGGCCGCCCCCGAAAUGAAUUGGCGGCCCCGUCGCGGCCUCCCUCUGCGUAGUAGCACACAUCUCGCAGCUGGAGCGCGGCGCGGCCACUGCCGUAAAACGCACCAACUUUUUUUUACAGUUGACCUCGAAUCAGGUAGGAAUACCCGCUGAACUUAAGCAUAUCAAUAAGCGGAGGA
rnacentral:misc_RNA from 1 species